UUGUUUAAUCAUCUUUUUUUCUUAAGAAACAAUGUUUUUAAUCACCGUUCUGAAAUGUGCUUCUUAAUCUGUUACCCAAAGAGAAAAUUCUACAUUUAUUAGCGCUUUGAGUGCCUGUAUAUGACCUUUUUUGUUAAGUUUACGACAAAUGUAAGGAUAGAAGAUGUCCUUUCCUUGGUCCUCAUUAUCUAUUCUAUACAGUUAGUUAUGUACCAGAUGC
rnacentral:lncRNA from 1 species